rnacentral:rRNA from 1 species
CAAGUCGAACGAGCGAGAGAGAGCUUGCUUUCUCAAGCGAGUGGCGAACGGGUGAGUAACGCGUGAGGAACCUGCCUCAAAGAGGGGGACAACAGUUGGAAACGACUGCUAAUACCGCAUAAGCCCACGACCCGGCAUCGGGUAGAGGGAAAAGGAGCAAUCCGCUUUGAGAUGGCCUCGCGUCCGAUUAGCUAGUUGGUGAGGUAAUGGCCCACCAAGGCGACGAUCGGUAGCCGGACUGAGAGGUUGAACGGCCACAUUGGGACUGAGACACGGCCCAGACUCCUACGGGAGGCAGCAGUGGGGAAUAUUGCACAAUGGGGGAAACCCUGAUGCAGCGACGCCGCGUGGAGGAAGAAGGUCUUCGGACUGUAAACUCCUGUUGUUGAGGAAGAUAAUGACGGUACUCAACAAGGAAGUGACGGCUAACUACGUGCCAGCAGCCGCGGUAAAACGUAGGUCACAAGCGUUGUCCGGAAUUACUGGGUGUAAAGGGAGCGCAGGCGGGAAGACAAGUUGGAAGUGAAAUCCAUGGGCUCAACCCAUGAACUGCUUUCAAAACUGUUUUUCUUGAGUAGUGCAGAGGUGGGCGGAAUUCCCGGUGUAGCGGUGGAAUGCGUAGAUAUCGGGAGGAACACCAGUGGCGAAGGCGGCCUACUGGGCACCAACUGACGCUGAGGCUCGAAAGUGUGGGUAGCAAACAGGAUUAGAUACCCUGGUAGUCCACACUGUAAACGAUGAUUACUAGGUGUUGGAGGAUUGACCCCUUCAGUGCCGCAGUUAACACAAUAAGUAAUCCACCUGGGGAGUACGACCGCAAGGUUGAAACUCAAAGGAAUUGACGGGGGCCCGCACAAGCAGUGGAGUAUGUGGUUUAAUUCGACGCAACGCGAAGAACCUUACCAAGUCUUGACAUCCU